GACGAACGCUGGCGGCGUGCUUAACACAUGCAAGUCGAACGAUGAUCUCCCAGCUUGCUGGGGGGGAUUAGUGGCGAACGGGUGAGUAACACGUGAGUAACAUGCCCUGGACUCUGGGAUAACCCCGAGAAAUCGGAGCUAUUACCGGAUAGGACCCUGUACCGCACGGUGCGGGGUGGAAAGUUUUUUCGGUUUGGGAUGGACUCGCGGCCUAUCAGCUUGUUGGCGAGGUAAUGGCUCACCAAGGCGUCGACGGGUAGCCGGCCUGAGAGGGUGACCGGCCACACUGGGACUGAGACACGGCCCAGACUCCUACGGGAGGCAGCAGUGGGGAAUAUUGCACAAUGGGCGCAAGCCUGAUGCAGCAACGCCGCGUGCGGGAUGACGGCCUUCGGGUUGUAAACCGCUUUUAGUAAGGAAGAAGGGGAGCUUGCUCCUUGACGGUACUUGCAGAAAAAGGACCGGCUAACUACGUGCCAGCCGCCGCAGUAAUAC
rnacentral:rRNA from 1 species